AUAGGAGGUCCAGCCUGCCCAGUGACUACGGGUUCAACGGCCGCGGUAUUUUGACCGUGCAAAGGUAGCGCAAUCACUUGUCUCUUAAAUAGAGACCUGUAUGAAUGGCUAGACGAGGGCUUAACUGUCUCCCCCUUCCAGUCAGUGAAAUUGAUCUAUCCGUGCAGAAGCGGGUAUAAUUAUACAAGACGAGAAGACCCUUUGGAGCUUAAGGUACAAAAUUCAACCACGUUAAACGACUCUACAUGAAGCAAGAACUUAGUGGCGAAUGAAAUUUUACCUUCGGUUGGGGCGACCGCGGAGGAGAAAGAAGCCUCCGAGUGGACUGGGCUAAUCCCCAAAGCCAAGAGAUACAUCUAUAAGCCGCAGAACAUCUGACCAAAAAUGAUCCGACUGAUAAAGCCGAUCAACGAACCAAGUUACCCUAGGGAUAACAGCGCAAUCCUCUCCCAGAGUCCAUAUCGACGAGGGGGUUUACGACCUCGAUGUUGGAUCAGGACAUCCUAAUGGUGCAGCCGCUAUUAAGGGUUCGUUUGUUCAACGAUUAAAGUCC
rnacentral:rRNA from 1 species